AGCCAGGUUUUUUUUAAAACCACAUAUCAGAUUCAGUUUCAUUCCA
rfam:Monodelphis domestica chromosome 3, whole genome shotgun sequence.